rnacentral:lncRNA from 1 species
AUAGAAAGCGAGCUCGGGGAGCUCGGGGUGGAGGCAGCGUUUCCCGCCUCGAGAGCCCUGAAGUGAUGGCGGAGAGGGGGCGCGGCCAUAGCUGGCGGCGGGCCCUGCUGGGAGCCGUUCGCCUUCAUAUAAUUAUUUAGGUUGGAAAAGUCCUUCAAGAUCAUCUGGUCCAACCAUCACCCUACUGCCAAUGUCACCCACUAAGCACCACCACCCUAAGCACCAUGUCCAACCUUCCCUUAAACACCCCGAGGGAUGGUGACACCACCACCUCCCUGGGUCCCAAUGCCUGACUGCUCUUGCUGAGAAGAAAUUUCGCAAAUUUUCCUCAUUUCCAACCUCUCCCUCCUGCCUCCUCAGCCAUAUAGUGACAUAUGCCCCUCAUCCUUUCCAGCCUUGAAGGCUCCCUUCUAAGGGCUGCAACUGCUCCAGCAGAAGGGGGAACGAUGGGCUUGGGGAUCACUGGGAAAAACAUUUAGGGAAAAGAAAAACAAAAACAACCAUGAGUGGUACAAUAAAUAAAAAUAUUCCACCGAUUGAACAAAAGGUGCUUUGAAAAGAAUAGUCCUACCGUGGAUUACUAGAGGAGUCAAAGCAGUUGCUUGCCUGGUUAAGGCCAGCGGGGUGGAUGGCAUUUGCUGCAAGGUGCUCGGGCAGGCCGGCAGUCAGUCAGUCUGUCUGUCCCUCUGGCGAGCACCAAUUUGCCAGAAAUUCCUGCCGAGCAGCCUGCACCUUAGUGUUUCACACUGAGAGGAGGGUUCUAGCCUUGCUCUGGGCUUUUCUGCGCUGGAUCAAGAAGAGGAUCUGGCCAGAGGGCCUGCCCACACAUCUGUUGGUUUCAUUCUGACGCUGUGCCCACAUAGAAAAAUACGCCUGCAGGGAAGGUAAGGAAGUCACCAGGAACUGGCGGCAGGCUCCAUUAAAAAAAAUUAACCGGGAAAAAUCCACACUUUGCAAUGAAUGAACAGGAGCCUGGGGCACCAGAAUGCAGCCCGUUCUGUUAGCCCCUGCCUCCCCCUCCUCUGGUCAUUUCUCCAAGGCAGUGGGGAGGGGGAAAAAUAGAGAAGGGAGCAGAGAAGACGAGUGGCAGAGCAAUGGAGGGCAGCUGAUACAUUGCUCCCAAAUUUUCCUUCUAAAAGUGGCCAUUUUAUGGCUCUCAGAAACUCUUCCGAGGCAGGCAGGCUCCCGUUCCUGAAAGCUAGCAGCGAUUUUAGCACAGCGACUUUCAUUUUCGCUUCGUGGCACGGCAGCGUCAGCUUUUGUGCAACAGAAAGUAUUAUUGCUGUGUUUGUUAUCAUCCCGGAUACAGCGUCUCUUUUACCCUCUGUGGAAGUAAAAGGUAAAA